rnacentral:lncRNA from 1 species
UGCGACUAUAGCAGAUGUUGACCAUAUACUAAGAGUUUGUUCCAGGUUGUACUCUGGGUUGUACUGUAAGAGGGAGGUAGGGGGUCUCAAGAAUUUUUUGGGAUGAGUUUUUUAUUUUCACUUUUUGCGUGGUGGUUUAUUUUUUGUGCACACGACCAUUUAUUUUCAACCUCAUUUAAAACUAAUUCCCCUCUUGUCAUGCCAGAUUAUUUUUUUCCUGACAAUUGGGCUCAAGUUAUUAGGGCCCCGCCAAAGGCGG